GCAUUCCUAGCUCAAUGGAUAGAGCAUUAGCCUUCUAAGCUAUAGGUUAAAGGUUCAACUCCUUUGGAAUGUA
rnacentral:tRNA from 1 species